rnacentral:rRNA from 1 species
AGCGAACGCUGGCGGCAGGCCUAACACAUGCAAGUCGAGCGGCCGUAGCAAUACGGCAGCGGCAGACGGGAGAGUAACACGUGGGAACGCGCCCUUCGGUUCGGAAUAACUCAGGGAAACUUGAGCUAAUACCGGAUACGCCCUUACGGGGAAAGAUUUAUUGCCGAAGGAACGGCCCGCGUCCGAUUAGCUUGUUGGUGAGGUAACGGCUCACCAAGGCGACGAUCGGUAGCUGGUCUGAGAGGAUGACCAGCCUCACUGGGACUGAGACACGGCCCAGACUCCUACGGGAGGCAGCAGUGGGGAAUAUUGGACAAUGGGCGCAAGCCUGAUCCAGCCAUGCCGCGUGGGUGAUGAAGGCCUUAGGGUUGUAAAGCCCUUUCAGCGGGGAAGAUAAUGACGGUACCCGCAGAAGAAGCCCCGGCUAACUUCGUGCCAGCCGCCGAGUAAAAC